rnacentral:rRNA from 1 species
AAUUCGAAGCAACGCGAAGAACCUUACCAGGUCUGACAUCCCGAUGCUAUUCUAGAGAUAGAAAGUUACUUCGGUACAUCGGUGACAGGUGGUGCAUGGUUGUCGUCAGCUCGUGUCGUGAGAUGUUGGGUUAAGUCCCGCAACGAGCGCAACCCCUAUUGUUAGUUGCCAUCAUUCAGUUGGGCACUCUAGCGAGACUGCCGGUAAUAAACCGGAGGAAGGUGGGGAUGACGUCAAAUCAUCAUGCCCCUUAUGACCUGGGCUACACACGCGCUACAAUGGUUGGUACAACGAGUUGCGAGUCGGUGACGGCGAGCUAAUCUCUUAAAGCCAAUCUCAGUUCGGAUUGUAGGCUGCAACUCGCCUACAUGAAGUCGGAAUCGCUAGUAAUCGCGGAUCAGCACGCCGCGGUCGAAUACGUUCCCGGGCCUU